UACGGAGGGUGCAAGCGUUAUCCGGAUUCACUGGGAUUAAAGGGUGCGUAGGUGGGCAGGUAAGUCAGUGGUGAAAUCUCCGGGCUUAACUCGGAAACUGCCAUUGAUACUAUCUGUCUUGAAUACAGUGGAGGUUAGCGGAAUAUGUCAUGUAGCGGUGAAAUGCUUAGAUAUGACAUAGAACACCAAUUGCGACGGCAGCUGGCUACACGAAUAUUGACACUGAUGCACGAAAGCGUGGGGAUCAAACAGG
rnacentral:rRNA from 1 species